rnacentral:rRNA from 1 species
GACGAACGCUGGCGGCGUGCUUAACACAUGCAAGUCGAACGGAAAGGCCCUGCUUUUGUGGGGUGCUCGAGUGGCGAACGGGUGAGUAACACGUGAGUAACCUGCCCUUGACUUUGGGAUAACUUCAGGAAACUGGGGCUAAUACCGGAUAGGAGCUCCUGCUGCAUGGUGGGGGUUGGAAAGUUUCGGCGGUUGGGGAUGGACUCGCGGCUUAUCAGCUUGUUGGUGGGGUAGUGGCUUACCAAGGCUUUGACGGGUAGCCGGCCUGAGAGGGUGACCGGCCACAUUGGGACUGAGAUACGGCCCAGACUCCUACGGGAGGCAGCAGUGGGGAAUAUUGCACAAUGGGCGGAAGCCUGAUGCAGCAACGCCGCGUGCGGGAUGACGGCCUUCGGGUUGUAAACCGCUUUCGCCUGUGACGAAGCGUGAGUGACGGUAAUGGGUAAAGAAGCACCGGCUAACUACGUGCCAGCAGCCGCGGUGAUACGUAGGGUGCAAGCGUUGUCCGGAUUUAUUGGGCGUAAAGGGCUCGUAGGUGGUUGAUCGCGUCGGAAGUGUAAUCUUGGGGCUUAACCCUGAGCGUGCUUUCGAUACGGGUUGACUUGAGGAAGGUAGGGGAGAAUGGAAUUCCUGGUGGAGCGGUGGAAUGCGCAGAUAUCAGGAGGAACACCAGUGGCGAAGGCGGUUCUCUGGGCCUUUCCUGACGCUGAGGAGCGAAAGCGUGGGGAGCGAACAGGCUUAGAUACCCUGGUAGUCCACGCUGUAAACGGUGGGUACUAGGUGUGGGGUCCAUUCCACGGGUUCCGUGCCGUAGCUAACGCUUUAAGUACCCCGCCUGGGGAGUACGGCCGCAAGGCUAAAACUCAAAGGAAUUGACGGGGCCCCGCACAAGCGGCGGAGCAUGCGGAUUAAUUCGAUGCAACGCGUAGAACCUUACCUGGGUUUGACAUGGAUCGGGAGCGCUCAGAGAUGGGUGUGCCUCUUUUGGGGUCGGUUCACAGGUGGUGCAUGGCUGUCGUCAGCUCGCGCCGUGAGAUGUUGGGUUAAGUCCCGCAACGGGCGCAACCCUUGUUCACUGUUGCCAGCACGUUAUGGUGGGGACUCAGUGGAGACCGCCGGGGUCAACUCGGAGGAAGGUGGGGAUGACGUCAAGUCAUCAUGCCCCUUAUGUCCAGGGCUUCACGCAUGCUACAAUGGCUGGUACAGAGAGUGGCGAGCCUGUGAGGGUGAGCGAAUCUCGGAAAGCCGGUCUCAGUUCGGAUUGGGGUCUGCAACUCGACCUCAUGAAGUCGGAGUCGCUAGUAAUCGCAGAUCAGCAACGCUGCGGUGAAUACGUUCCCGGG